rnacentral:rRNA from 1 species
AUUGAACGCUGGCGCGUGCUUAACACAUGCAAGUCGAACGCGAAAGGGACUUCGGUCCUGAGUAAAGUGGCGCACGGGUGAGUAACGCGUGGAUAAUCUGCCCUUAUGAUCGGGAUAACAGUUGGAAACGGCUGCUAAUACCGGAUACGCUCAAAAUGAACUUUUUGAGGAAAGAUGGCCUCUGCUUGCAUGCUAUCACGUAAGGAUGAGUCCGCGUCCCAUUAGCUUGUUGGCGGGGUAACGGCCCACCAAGGCAACGAUGGGUAGCCGAUUUGAGAGGAUGAUCGGCCACACUGGAACUGAAGCACGGUCCAGACUCCUACGGGAGGCAGCAGUGGGGAAUAUUGCGCAAUGGGCGAAAGCCUGACGCAGCGACGCCGCGUGAGGGAUUGAAGGUUUUCGGAUCGUAAACCUCUGUCAGAAGGGAAGAAACUACGUUGUGCUAAUCAGCAGCGUACUGACGGUACCUUCAAAGGAAGCACCGGCUAACUCCGUGCCAGCAGCCGC